ensembl:lncRNA
GGGGACUUAAGCAGUAUUUUUUUUUUUUUUAAUUGAGGAGCAUGUACCUUGAUUUAUGUCCAAAAUUGUGGCUGAACAUCUUUGUCUGCAAGUGAUAAAUGGUGGCGAACCAUUUAUCAGUUCUUACAAGUAAACACUGCUGUCCCACUAAAAAUAUGUUUUGUUCUGAGUUAAUGGUAUGGAACAAGGCAGCCUCCACAACUCAGCUAUCUUUUAUUGUGGAGGGGCCUCGGAAACUUGGAGCAAAGUGGAGGAAAUUGGCAUUCAUUUUCUUGUCUAAUUCCUGAUUCGGAUGAUGCGGCUGUAGGUGGACGGAGGAUGAGAGGGUAAACCUUCCGUUUCUUUCCUUUCUCUUUAGUUGGGGCUGCUUAUGAAACAGGCCUUCUUCAGAUGCCAGGAUUCUGCUGGGGCACUAAGAAGUCAGGAGUAGUUUCUACGAUGGGGUUGGCCUCCGCUUGGCAACUGCCACGAAGAGCUGAGGUAUAGACAGGCGGGUGUGCUAAGACUGGGUUGCCUUCAGUUUCAUGCCGGCUCUUUGAGGGAAAGUUGUAUCCAUUAUUGGUGGCUCCUAGGAACGUUCUGCCUCCAUGCUUACUUAAUGGUCCCCGGACGUCCUUGCAUUCUAGAACCUUGUUUAAAGGAGCCUUGGUGAUUAAAGAGGCUGUGGAGGAUACAGCCCUUGCUUAGCAGAUGAGCCUGCGUGCAUUUCCCGUUUCCUUAAAAACUGAUUAAUUGAUGCUGCGGGGAGCACACGGUCUGCUAAUAAGAUGAUAAUAACAAAACGGUAUCAGGAAAGGCAUUUAUGGCUUAUAACUGCCGUCUGAUUCCUUCCAAGAGAGACUGCGGCUUUGUAGUGUAGUUUUCUCUUUUAAUAGUGAUAUGCUAAUGCUUUUUAUUCUAAAUCGGCCAACACUGAGUAUCUCCAGGAAAAAUGGAUUCCAUAAGAAGUGGCAUCCUCCUGGAAUUGAAAGACAUUGCCAGCAAAGGUAGACUUCUUACAGAGGCUAAAGCCAGAAAUUGCUGAGGGAAGAAUGGGAGAAGACUGAAUGAGUUGAAGGCAUCAUCACAAAGGUGGGACACACUUUGGGAGAAGGCCUAGGAAUGGAAGAGUAAUGAGUAGAUGAGUGGGCAUCAAGAUGGCUUGCUGGAGAAGAAUAUGGCUGACUAGAGAGGGCGAAGAGACAGGGCAGGGUGAGGUGCCGCUAUGGACUGUGAAGCCAGGAGAGCCCGUGGAGUAGAGUGUCCAUGAAACUUUGACGAUGCAGGAAGUAGAAGUGAUGAGGUCCAGGGAAAAUAGGGACGCAGCCCUAGCAGUUCUGCUGUGUAUGGACCAUAGGCUUGUUCAUGAAAUUUGAAAGCUGAGUAAAGGCAGAUGAAGAGUUUUAAUUUUCAGAAAUCUGAGGACCAGAUCAAAGAGGCCAUAAUAAUUCAGGCAAGUGACUGCCAGAUUCUAGACUGGGUCUGUAGAUGUGAUGUGAAAUAAA